rnacentral:rRNA from 1 species
GAUGAACGCUGGCGGCGUGCUUAACACAUGCAAGUCGAACGAAGCACCUCUCCCGAAGAUUGACACAGCUUGCUGUAGAUUGAUUCAUUUGAGGUGACUGAGUGGCGGACGGGUGAGUAACGCGUGGGUAACCUGCCUCAUAGAGGGGGACAACAGUUGGAAACGACUGCUAAUACCGCAUAGUAAGAAGAAUUCGCAUGUUUUCUUCUUGAAAGAUUUAUCGCUAUGAGUUGGACCCGCGUCUGAUUAGCUAGUUGGUAAGGUAACGGCUUACCAAGGCGACGAUCAGUAGCCGGCUUGAGAGAGUGAACGGCCACAUUGGGACUGAGACACGGCCCAAACUCCUACGGGAGGCAGCAGUGGGGAAUAUUGCACAAUGGGGGAAACCCUGAUGCAGCGACGCCGCGUGAGUGAAGAAGUAUUUCGGUAUGUAAAGCUCUAUCAGCAGGGAAGAUAAUGACGGUACCUGACUAAGAAGCCCCGGCUAACUACGUGCCAGCAGCCGCGGUAAUACGUAGGGGGCAAGCGUUAUCCGGAUUUACUGGGUGUAAAGGGUGCGUAGGUGGCAAGGCAAGUCAGAUGUGAAAGCCCGGGGCUCAACCCCGGUACUGCAUUUGAAACUGUCUGGCUAGAGUGCAGGAGAGGUAAGCGGAAUUCCUAGUGUAGCGGUGAAAUGCGUAGAUAUUAGGAGGAACACCAGUGGCGAAGGCGGCUUACUGGACUGUAACUGACACUGAGGCACGAAAGCGUGGGGAGCAAACAGGAUUAGAUACCCUGGUAGUCCACGCCGUAAAACGAAGAAUAAAUAGGUGUCGGGGGCCCACAGGGCUUUCGGUGCCGCAGCAAAAGCACUUAAGUAUUCCACCUGGGGAGUACGUUCGCAAGAAUGAAACUCAAAGGAAUUGACGGGGACCCGCACAAGCGGUGGAGCAUGUGGUUUAAUUUGAAGCAACGCGAAGAACCUUACCAAGUCUUGACAUCCUUCUGACCGUUCCUUAGCCGGAACUUCUCUUCUGAGCAGAAGUGACAGGUGGUGCAUGGUUGUCGUCAGCUCGUGUCGUGAGAUGUUGGGUUAAGUCCCGCAACGAGCGCAACCCUUAUCCUUAGUAGCCAGCGGUUCGGCCGGGCACUCUGGGGAGACUGCCGGAGAUAAUCCGGAGGAAGGUGGGGAGGACGUCAAAUCAUCAUGCCCCUUAUGACUUGGGCUAGGCACGUGCUACAAUGGCGGUAACAAAGGGAAGCAGCCUCGCGAGAGUGAGCAAACCCCAAAAAAGCCGUCUCAGUUCGGAUUGUAGUCUGCAACUCGACUACAUGAGGCUGGAAUCGCUAGUAAUCGCAGAUCAGAAUGCUGCGGUGAAUACGUUCCCGGGUCUUGCACA